AGAGGAGUUAUAACCCAGUCAGUAUAGAGGAGUUAUUACCCAGUCAGAUAUAAGGAGUUACACCCAGUCAGAUAUAGAGGAGUUAUUUACCCAGUCAGAAUAUAGAAGGGAGUUUACCCAGUCAGAUAUAGGAGUUAUUAACCCGGUCAGAUAUAGAGGAGUUAUAACCCAGUCAGAUAGAGGAGUUAUUAACCCAGUCAGAUAUGAGGGUUAUUAACCCAGUCAGAUAUAGAGGAGUUAUUUACCAGUCAGAUAUAGAGGAGUUAUCACCAGUCAGAUAUAGAGGAGUUAUUUACCCAGUCAGAUAUAGAGGAGUUAUUAACCCAGUCAGAGGAGUUAUUAACCCAGUCAGAGGAGUUAUUAACCCAGUCAGAUAUAGAGGAGUUAUUAACCCAGUCAGAUAUAGAGGAGUUAUUCACCCAGUCAGAUAUAGAGGAGUUAUUUACCCAGUCAGAUAUAGAGGAGUUAUUUACCCAGUCAGAUAUAGAGGAGUUAUUAACCCAGUCAGAUAUAGAGGAGUUAUUAACCCAGUCAGAUAUAGAGGAGUUAUUAACCCAGUCAGAUAUAGAGGGGUUAUUAACCCAGUCAGAUAUAGAGGAGUUAUUAACCCAGUCAGAUAUAGAGGGGUUAUUUACCCAGUCAGAUAUAGAGGAGUUAUUUACCCAGUCAGAUAUAGAGGAGUUAUUUACCCAGUCAGAUAUAGUUUCGUGACUAGAGGAUUUUAGUCACUAAAUUGUUUCCUAUCCCUUUUCCUUUCAAUGACA
rnacentral:lncRNA from 1 species